rnacentral:rRNA from 1 species
UACGGAGGGUGCAAGCGUUAUCCGGAUUCACUGGGUUUAAAGGGUGCGUAGGUGGGCAGUUAAGUCAGUGGUGAAAUCUCCGGGCUCAACCCGGAAACUGCCAUUGAUACUAUUAGUCUUGAAUUUUGUUGAGGUAGGCGGAAUAAGUCAUGUAGCGGUGAAAUGCAUAGAUAUGACUUAGAACACCAAUUGCGAAGGCAGCUUGCUAAACAAAUAUUGACGCUGAGGCACGAAAGCGUGGGGAUCAAACAGG